rnacentral:lncRNA from 1 species
GAGAUUCUGCAUUCUUUCGAUCCUACUCGCCGAGUGCACGAACGGACUCGUCGAGUAGGUUGAAGUUUGCCUUGGACUCGGCGAGUCCCCCCAAUGGACUCGGCGAGUCUAGCAUGCAGACAGCAACGAUUUCGACUUUUUUCACUAUUUUGCAUCAAGUAUCAAACAAGCAAGCCUAGGCUCUGAUACCACUGUUGGGUUUUGAGCAAUCUAACACUUCCUAAGUGUGCAUGCAACCCUAAUAAACCUUGGAUCUAUGUUUGUCUAAAUACAUGCAAAAUAAUAAUUUUCCAAGGUUUAUAACCUAUCUAACAUGGCAUGGGGAACAUUUCAACAUAAAAGAGUUAGAAGAGAUUACAUACCUUUGUUGUGUUGGGUUCUUAGGAGUUUGAGGGCCAAGCACCAAUAGUGUGAAUGCCUCAAAUGGAAUCACAAACACCACAAACUCUUGGAAAACUUUGAGAGAGUAUACACACUCUUGUAUUUUCGGCCACACACAUGCACACACACACUAGAACACUAGCUUUCUCUUAGGCUAUCUUAGGCUCUCUUUCAUGCUCCAUAAGCAUGCUUAUAUAGUAUGCAUGGUUAGGGUGAAACCCUAAUAACCCAUGUCUUUUCCUAUUCCAAGGAUCCAUGGGUUAAAAGCUCCAUGGAUCAUCCAUGGACUUCCACAUAAGCCUAGCCCAUUAACAAAUGAGUAUUAGCCCACACUAUAUAAAACAAAUAGCCCAUAAUUUAAUUAGUAUUCCUUUUAAUCUCUAAAUUAAUCCAUAAUUAAUUUAAGACUAAAACUAAUUAAAUAACGUAACUUCAUAUUAAUAUAUUAUAACUCAUAAUAUAUUAAUAAACAUAUGUGUAUAACUCUCAUAAAAUUAUCCAUAAUAGUUUGGAUGAGAUGCAACCCAAAUGGACCAUGCCGGUCGGGUCAAGUAUAUACCAAAUAAGUUAUGGACUUAGACACCUUAUCCAACAGACUCCCACUUGGAUAAGUCUAAUAACUAUAUUUGCCUAUAACUUCAGGAACCAACCAACAAUCGUAGCUCUCGAAAACUCCCUCGAACAAUGAAGACUCUGUCGAACUAUGAAGCGCCAUUUUAGAUAAGUGAUCACAUAAUCCUCUGUUCUCAUGAUAUCAGCCGGACAAACACAUGGAACUAUGUCUUGCUUAUUGUCUAGCAGUUGUUUCUCGAUUAUCCGAUUUGUUUGACGAAGAACUUCACUGAACACAUCGGUUUAGUUCUGACCAGGCCUGGUAUAUGGGUCAACACAAAAUCAUCGAGGGGCCCGGAUAUCGCUUCUAUUUCUAGAAGGAACAGAUAAACUUCGACUGAUAUGCUUGUUCUACUACUUAUUGAAUUGUACACAAAGGCACGUUUUAUAACAUCAAGUUACUGAUGCGUUUACGUGCAAUCAAUGCACAACCAACUCAUAGGUAACAACUCAUAUCUCUAGGUUUAAAGAUUUAUAUGAUGUUAUCGUCUCACGAUCACUCGAGAUAAAUUCCAUGAAGUGAUACAAGUGAGCGUGGGUUUAUACCAAUACUCAUAACUUAUGAGUACUCAUGAAUGUUGCAGCAACCAUUGCCAUGCCUAAACACCUUUAAGGCAUCUACAAACCCAAUUCAUGACAAUCUUGAUUCAUACCUACUUCCGACGUAUGAUCGAUUGUGGAGGUUUGAACAAAUUAAUUAUUCUGGAAGUCAAAACAUGCAAAACUGAAACAAUAGUAAAUAAUUGACAAUGAUAGUAACACUUUACUCAUAAAUAAAUCACAAAUUUUAUUCAUCAUCAAACGUCGAUUACAUUUUACAAGUUUCAGGAAAACUAUCUAAUCUGUAAAACUAAUAUCGUCCCUCAGCCCGAUGCGUCUCGCAUGCUGAAAAUGCUUAACCCUCGUCAGUCCCUUCGUAAGGGGAUCUGCAGGAUUCUCAUCUGACGAUAUCCUCCUUGUCACAAGGAGUCCUUCUUCAAUCUUGUGCCUUAUGAAGUGAUAUUUUCUGUCAAUGUGUCGGGAUCUGCCAUGAUCUCUUGGUUCCUUGGCUAAGAUAACCGCAGCAUUGUUGUCACAGAAAAUCUCUAUAGGUUCNCCAGCAGCAAAAGUCGAAAAACUGCACUCUUUCGAUCCUACUCGUCGAGUGCAUGAACUUACUCGUCGAGUAGGUUGAAGUUUACCUUGGACUCGGCGAGUCCCCCCAAUGGACUCGGCGAGUCCACCAUGCAGACAGCAAUGAUUUCGACUUUUAUCACUAUUUUGCAUCAAGUAUCAAACAAGCAAGCCUAGGCUCUGAUACCACUAUUGGGUUUUGAGCAAUCUAACACUUCCUAAGUGUGCAUGCAACCCUAAUAAACCUUGGAUCUAUGUUUGUCUAAAUACAUGCAAAAUAAUAAUUUUCCAAGGUUUAUAACCUAUCUAACAUGGCAUGGGGAACAUUUCAACAUAAAAGAGUUAGAAGAGAUUACAUACCUUUGUUGUGUUGGGUUCUUAGGAGUUUGAGGGCCAAGCACCAAUAGUGUGAAUGCCUCAAAUGGAAUCAC